AGAAUCAACGCUGGCGGCGUGCCUAACACAUGCAAGUCGAACGAGAAAGUGGAGCAAUCCAUGAGUAAAGUGGCGACCGGGUGAGUAACACGUGACUAACCUACCUUCGAGUGGGGGAUAACCUCGGGGAAACCGAGGCUAAUACCGCAUAACAUCGCAAGAUCAAAGCAGCAAUGCGCUGGAAGAGGGGGUCGCGGCUGAUUAGCUAGUUGGCGGGGUAACGGCCCACCAAGGCGAAGAUCGGUA
rnacentral:rRNA from 1 species